rnacentral:rRNA from 1 species
UACAUGGGGUGCAAACGUUGCUCGGAAUUAUUGGGCGUAAAGCGCACGUAGGCGGUUCGUUAAGUCGGAUGUGAAAGCCCUCGGCUCAACUGAGGAAGUGCACCCGAAACUGGCGAGCUUGAGUCCGGAAGAGGUGAGUGGAACUCCUAGUGUAGAGGUGGAAUUCGUAGAUAUUAGGAAGAACACCAGUGGCGAAGGCGGCUCACUGGUCCGGUACUGACGCUGAGGUGGCGGAAAAGCGUGGGGAGCAAACAGGG